UCACCUGUAGAUCUCACACUGCUCUCUUUGAUCUCUCUUACGUUCAGUCUGUGGAAAGGAUGAGGUGUAUUGUGAUCAUUCUGGUGCUGACGCUGGUCGUCUUCAUGACUGAACCUGUGGACAGUCGGGGCUCAAAACUUUCCAGAUCCUUCUGGAGAAAAGCAAAGAAAGGAGGUGGCAAAUUCCUGAGGUUGGCUGCAAAGUAUGGACCUGCCUUGGUGCAAGCAGGAGACCAGGAUCAAGCUCCUGCAGAUUAUCAGGCCUGGGAGUUGCAGAUGUGAUAUUAAUAAGCUAUGCUCUGCUGGGGGAAUCAUUGUCCCCUAAAUAUAAUGCUUUGAGCUUUGCAAUGCAAGAAACAAAUGGAUCAGCAAACACACCGGUAGUUUUAGGUUUGCAGGAAUCAUGUAGAGAUCAUUUGGGCAUCAGCUCCAGUUGGUUUUAAAAAUAUGAAUUGCUACCUGAAACUCUCCUGAUGAA